GUGCCAGCAGCCGCGGUAAUACGGAGGGUGCGAGCGUUGUCCGGAAUCAUUGGGCGUAAAGGGCGCGUAGGUGGCCCGGUCAGUCAGUGGUGAAAGCGCGGGGCUCAACUCCGCGUCGGCCAUUGAUACUGCUGGGCUUGAGCACUGUAGAGGCAGGCGGAAUUCCGGGUGUAGCGGUGGAAUGCGUAGAGAUCCGGAAGAACACCGGUGGCGAAGGCGGCCUGCUGGGCAGUAGCUGACACUGAGGCGCGACAGCGUGGGGAGCAAACAGGAUUAGAUACCCUGGUAGUCC
rnacentral:rRNA from 1 species